rnacentral:lncRNA from 1 species
GGAGCUUGCAUCGAGAGUGGCACACAUAGCAAACUGGUCUACAAAUAGAGGUGCUGGACACCACUUCUUCAUUGGAUCUUGUUGCUAAACCUUUCUCGAUAUAUCCGUAAUAUCCAGAAAUGGUGCCAAUAGAAAUAUAUGAACAUGGCAUGAAAUAUGAGAAGUCUCCAAAAACGCAUGAAACAUGUAAAACGACUCCACAAUCGUUGCAUGUGUAGAAACCUUCCUUUGGAUCCAAUUUUGUUUCACAUGCCUCAUGUAACACCCCAAAACCCAAGCCCACAAAGAUUUUGAGGAAAGGCCCGCUCUGCGGCCCAUCUUGAUUAAAAUGCCUAGGGUUUCCUUGCCUCUCCUAUAAAUACAAAGCCUCCACCCCUUAGACUUCCAUCAGAAAGAUUAGAAGCGAAGCCCUGCAGAGAAUCCCCGAAGAUCGGAAACCCUAGCCGUCGACUCUUUCUCUCUCUUUCGCGCCGCCUUUCUCCCUCUUCCCCGCGCCGUCUCUCUCCC